UCUUGUGCCGUCUCCCUUCAUAGGACACGGAUAGGAGUGCUAGGUGUGCAUCCCCACAGGCUAGAUCUCAGGAACUAUGAACAAAUAGGAGGGGAUGAAAAUCAUGCGGGGCAGUGGGCGCUAGAGUGGAGCGGUGUCUGUGGAUGUUGACUCAGUGUCUGUUCAUUGAGUCGAGCGGAUGUAGAUGGGAUGGGAGAGGGAGGCAGGGAUGAGGGCAAGAUUAAAUGUGCCAGUAGUGCUAUGUGUAGUGAUUGUAUUUGCUUGACUUUAUUAGUUUGCAGAGGAAUCAUCCAGGAGCCCUUGCCGGACGAGAAUAUGCAGAAGUGGACGUGAGCAGCCUGGACAUCCUUCUGAGGAGACCUCAACAGUCUUCAGGUUUCUGCCUUCUGCCUAACUGGCUGUGAGUAAGCGUAGCAAGAGAAAAGAAGUCACAGGCCAGAGUCUACUGCCCUUGUGCAAUGGAAAGAGAGCAAGACCGAUGAGUCUGCAAGCGUUGUUGAUGCGAGGCAGAAGGCGUCCAUCUGGGAGCGGAACCGCCACCACUCUCAAUGAGAUAAGUGUCAUCUUUGGUGAUUGCUCUGCUCAAAGCCCAUCUUGCUCCCGGUAGGGAUGCCCCGUUAGCUGGGACUGGGUUUGUAAGAAAAGGUUCCUGACUAGUUGCGGUUACAAGGGAGACGAUGUCCCCAUUUUCAGGGGCUGCUCAUGUCUCUGGCCAGGACCAGUGUGUCCUCCACAGCAUAUUAGAUCCAGCGGGAUAACUCCAGCUGGUGAGUUUCUUGACUCCCUCCCACGUUUUUCUCUCUCUCUCUCCUCUAAUGUGUUGGCCAACACACACUCUGUCUGUCUGUCUCUCACUCUCUCUCCUUGCCUCCUCUUGUGCUGUCUUCCUUCGUAGGACACAGGCAGGUGUGUUAUGUGUGCAUCCCCACAGGCUAGGUCUUGUGAGCUAUGAACAAGUAGGGGCCGAAAUGAUGCAGGGCAGUGGGCACUAGAGUGGAGCGGUGACUGUGGGUGUUGCGGGGCUAAGACAGAUCGAAAGUGACGCAGGGAAAAGGGCCUUAAUUGGGCUCUAUGUAGUGCAGGAGUUCUCAAACUGGGGUUUAGGUCCUGUCAGGAGGCCGCAAGGUUGUUGUUUGGGGGGUUGUGAAAUUUCAUCCUCCAUCCUAAACAUCACUUUGCUUCCAGCAUUUAUAAUGGUGUUGAAUAUACAAAAAGUGUUUUUAAUUUAUAAGGGGAGGGUCACACUCAGAAGCUUGCUAUGUAAAAGGGACCAUCAGUACAAAAGGUUGAGAAGCACUGGUGUAGUGAUAGUUCUUGCUUGCCUCUAUUAGUUUGCAGAGGAAUUGUCCAGGAGUCUCAGCUGGAGAAGAAGCUGGCAGAAGUGGACCUGACCUGCCUGGACAUCCUUCUAAGGAGACAUGAAGAGUCCUCAGCUUUCUGCAUUCUGGAUAACUGGCUAUGAGUAAGAACAGUCACACAUCAGAGUCUACUGCCCUCGUGCGAUGUAAAGUGAGUGAGAGCAGCGAGCCUGUGAGCAUUGUUCAUGCCAGGCAACAGCCGUCAAUGUGGGGGUCGAGCAGACGCCACUGUCAGUGAGAUAAGUGUCUGUUUUGCUGAGGGUUCUGCUCACGGCCCAUAUCAGUUUCUUGCCUUUCUCUGUGUUUCUCUCUCUCUCUCUCUCUUACUCUCUUCUCUAGUGUGUUGGCCAACACUCUCUGUCCUUGCCUCUCCUUGUGCUGUCUCCCUUCAUAGGACACAGGCAGGAGGGCUAGGUGUGCAUCCCCACAGGCUAGGUCUCAGGCAGGAGCUGUCCAUCUGGGAGCAGAACAGCUGCUACUAUCACUGAGAUAAGUAUCUGUUUUGCUGAGGGUUCUGCUCACGGCCCACCUGGCUACCUACAGGUAGAGACACCCCGUUAGGUGGGGCUGGGUUUGUAAGAAAAGGUUCCUGACUAGCUGUGGUUUUGAGGGAGACACGGUCCCCAUUUUCAGGGGCUGAUCAUUUCUCUGGCCAGGAUCGGUGUGUCCUCGGCAGGAGGAGGUUAGAUCCAUGAGGAUGACUCCAGGUGGUGAGUUGCUUGCCUUCCUCCUCUGUUUCUCUCUCUGUCUUCUCUACUUUACUCUACUCUACUGUGUUGGCCAACACUCUCUCUCUCUCUCUCUCUCUCUCUUUGCUGUCUCCCUUCAUAGGGCACGUGCAGGAGUGCUACGUGUGCAUCCCCUCAGGCUAGGUCUCGGGAGCUACGAACAAGUAGGAGGGGACGAAAAUCAUGCAUUGUAGUGGGCGGGUGACUGUGGAUGUUGAUUGUCUCUCUCCAAGUGGGCUUGAUGUAGAUAGGAUGGGAGAGGGAGGCAGGGAUGAGGGCAAGAUUACCUGCACCAAUUGAAUUUUGUGUAGUGAUGGCCCUUGCUACGCUCAUUUCCUGCGCUUGCAGAGGAAUUAUCCAGGAGCAGCAGCUGAAGGAGAAAGCGGCAGACGCAGACCUGAGGCGCCUGGACAUCCUUCUAAGGAGACAUGAAUAGUCCUCGGGUUUCUGCAUAACUGGCUGUUCCUCAUCUGCACUUGCUGUAGUUUUCUUCAUAGGCUGUGUUUUUCCUCCUUGGGUACGGGGCUCUGUGGCUGGGGAGGGGCCAGAAUCUGCUCUGCAGAGUGACUAUGUUGGGUGCCAUUAAGAGGGCCAAUGUAGACAGGAGAAAAGGGGCCUGAACCCUGAUUACAGGGCGGUCACCCUUUCUUUAGUAAAAUACGCCUUCUUUAAACGCGGUGUGUGUGUGGGGGGGAAGUCCCCAAUGUGAAAAGAUCUGGAAAUGAACAGGUAAGGGAGGGAUCCUGCUGAGUGUCUCCUUUCCGAUCAAUCCUCCAUCUCUCAGCAACACCCUUCCGGACUUACCUUCCUACCUCACCAAGAAAAUAACCUGGUGCUCCCUAACCUUUACCAGAAAAGACCCCUCGUCCUUGUGACACAGUCCUGUUAGUAGGGUUAGGUGCACCCAUGUGCUGGCUCUGAAUACCACCACAUGUGCUUACAACACCUGAACAUCAACACAUUUCAGAAAGGAUAGCCAUAUCAAUCCCUUCAGACGUAGCCCUAGGAAUCUCCUCUGUCUAUCUCCAAAGAGACACAAGGCCUGGAAUUUGGACACAGCUGAGGGAGCUGUCCGAAUGUCUACAGUUGAACACUCAUCAGUGCGACGGUGUGUUUCUUGUGCACAAGAAAACAAAGGGUCAAAGUUGUGGUUGGUUGAGCGGUGUAAGUUGGGCAGGGGAAAAGGACUUGAGGAAGGAUGAGGUGGAAGUGAGGGUCUGAAAGGAGCCCCCUACCUCACCUGUUCAUUUCCAGACGGUGUGACAUUUGCAUGGGUUGGGCCAUUUCUUGGCUUUUUUGAGAAAAGGGGCGACUUUUCCACGGCCUCCACCAUCCCCUUACAGCUGCCCCUUCGCCACACCAUGUUGCGACCUAUCCAGGUCAGAUGCAAGUAAGAUUUCACUUCAAAUCUCAAAAAAGUCCAGUAGAAAUAAUUGUGGGGGAAUUUCCUGUCACUAAGAGAAACAGAAGCUCAAGCCUUCUCAAGCGGUGGGGUGUCACUCAGCCACAGGCACAAAAAGGCUCCCCUAGUUUAAGCGUUGGAGGGAUAAGACCUUACACCCUGGUUACAGGGCAGUCAUUUUGCCAGGUGUGUCAAAGUGACCUGUGGUUUAAUUUGCUUGGCAAAGGAGACCCAAACCUUCCUUACAGGGUGGUCCUUAAGCCAGGGGCGUUCGAAUGGGGCAGAGAG